AAUGGCCGCAGUAUUUUGACUGUGCAAAGGUAGCAUAAUCAUUAGUUUCUUAAUUAGGAACUGGAAUGAAAGGUUGGACGAGAAAAUAACUGUCUCUUUAUAAAUUUUUUAGAAUUUUAUUUUUAAGUUAAAAAGCUUAAAUAAAUUUAAAAGACGAGAAGACCCUAUAGAGUUUUAUAUAAUUUAUAUUAAUAAUUUAAUAUUGAAUUGACUUAAUUUUAGUAUUAAUUAUAUUUGAUUGGGGUGAUUGAAAAAUUUAAUUAACUUUUUUUUUAUAAUAACAUUGAUUUAUGAAUUAUUGAUCCAUUCUUAUGAUUAAAAGAUUAAAUUACCUUAGGGAUAACAGCGUAAUUUCUUUUUAGAGUUCAAAUCGAUAAAGAAGUUUGCGACCUCGAUGUUGGAUUAAAAUUUAGUUUUGGUGUAGUAGCUAAAAAUAAUUAGGUCUGUUCGACCUUUAAAAUUUUACAUGAUCUGAGUUUAAACCGGUGUAAGCCAGGUUGGUUUCUAUCUUUAAAAUAAAAAGAAUAUUUUAGUACGAAAGGACCAAAUAUUUAUAAUAUUUAUUUAUUUUUGAAUAUUAGU
rnacentral:rRNA from 1 species